CAGAUUUGAAAACCAGUUGUCCCCUCGGCUGGCUGUAGUGAUUUCCGCUUUGAAAAUUUCGCCAUGCCUGUUCGUUUGCUGUUUAACAGAAGUCUUUUUCUGGAGUUCUUUUUUCGCGGUAGAAGAUGAGCAGUCCAGCAGAUCUGCUUGCUCAAGAACCAACCGGCAUUGAAUCCAUAUCGAAUGAAGAAAUAAUAGCCGACCAGUGCGCCGCGGGGAUAACUCAGAUGUCCGUCAAAGAGGCGCGGGCACUGUCGACGGUAGCUGAGGCAGACGAGCUGGAUUCUUCUAAUGGUAGCACAGAGCAGCACGUCUCAACAGUUCUAUACGGAGAUCCUGGAUCGAAAUCAAGGACUCCAAAUGUGAUUGAUGUCGAAAGGGAAAAGAGCAAUAAACUCGAUUUAUGAGCUUGAUGCACACGUACAGAAGUCACAGACACGGCGUGAUGCCUGACGAACGAGCGGCUAGUGCAGAUAGGAUUAGUGCACUGGAAUUAGCAUUUAGAGGAUUCGCUUAGAGGAAAGGAGAUGCAAUUGUUGUGCCUUCUUUGGGCUUGACAUUUGAUUCGCUAGGAGAGGCUUACGACUACUACAACAUGUAUUCAUGGGAGUGCGGUUUCGGAAUCAGGUACGGUAAGAGCCGUACAAAUGUCAAAGGUGCUAAAAGCAUGCAAGAGCUGCUUUGCAACUGCAGGGGGAAACCAAAGAAGGCGAACUCUACCUCUUCGAGAACAGAGUGUCCAGCGAUGAUUAGAUUGCUGAGAACUGAAGAUGAUGG